UACAGAGACUGCAAGCGUUAUUCGGAUUCACUGGGCGUAAAGGGUGCGCAGGCGGUCGGGUGUGUCAGAUGUGAAAUCCCGAGGCUCAACCUCGGAACUGCGUCUGAAACUACUCGACUAGAGUACUGGAGAGGGUAACGGAAUUCACGGUGUAGCAGUGAAAUGCGUAGAUAUCGGGAAGAACAUCGGUGGCGAAGGCGGCCUGCUGGGCUGUUGCUGACGCUGAGGCGCGACAGCGUGGGGAGCAAACAGG
rnacentral:rRNA from 1 species